CCUCACGAAAACUCCUCCCGCUGCACCUGAAAAAGGCGUCUAUUGACAAACUUGGCUGAAAGAAGCGAGGCGAGCGCUAGGCGAGUAGAUUUAGGAUCUGGAGCUCCAAGUCCUGUGUAAACCGUCCAGAGGAAGGAGGAGGGGUGGGGGUGGGGGGAAACACCCGGAGAUACCGAAGGGAAGAAUUGGCUUGUUGGUUAGAUCAGCGAGCUGUGCGCAUCGACUCGGCUCCCCUCCUGGUUCUCUCUUCCCCCCGCCCGCUCCGAUUCACACCCCCUUCGGCUCUAGCUGGGCUUGUGCUGGCAUCGCUCUGCACUGCAUGACAGCUCCAGGCUCCGAAGACUACGUAGCAGCCGGCAGUGGGAAGCCAAGCCCAGCUGAGGAAGAUCUGAGGACGGCUACGCGCCGGGGAUCGGCGGGGGUGUGAGCCCAGAAGGCACCUUGCCCUGUCUGAUUCCCAGGGCGCUGCCGCCGCCUCUUCCUCCUCCUCUUCUCCGAUUGCCUUUCGCUCCUGUUUAUAACCCCACCCCUGACCUUAUUCUCUGGCCGCCCAAGACUGAGCAGAAAGACAGAAGCCCAGAGAGAGAGAGAGAGAGAGAGAGAGAAAAUAGCACCGGGUCAAGGAGAAAUACCUGCGCAUCGCAAUUAGACUGCAAUUGAUGGGAGAUACACAUUUCUUUCUCUAGGGAAGCUGGUUACUCGCCCGCCCCCUUUUCUCUCUCUCUCUCUCUUCUAAAGAAAAGAACCUGGUCGAAAGCAGAAAGGGGGAGAAAAGCGGGGGUUCUGCUCCAAAAAAAAAGAGAGGGCAGCGGCAACGAAAGGAAUCGGGGAGAAUUUCGCCGAGCGUUUCCCUCCCUUUGUUGAAUGAGAAGGACGGCGGCAGAUCACCAUGAGCACCAGCAUUCCUUUUCAACAAAACCCAUACAACUCUGGGGGUCGUCCCACCAUAAUUCAAUGCUAUCGCUGUGGAGAUACUUGUAAAGGCGAGGUGGUGCGUGUCCAGAACAAUCACUUCCACAUCAGAUGUUUCACAUGCCAGGUGUGCGGCUGUGACCUAGCUCAGUCUGGCUUCUUCUUUAAGAAUGGGGAAUACAUCUGCACCCACGACUACCAGCAGCUCUAUGGCACCCGCUGUGACAGCUGCCAAGACUUCAUCACUGGAGAGGUUAUCUCAGCCUUGGGCCGGACUUACCAUCCCAAGUGCUUUGUGUGCAGCAUGUGCAGGAAGCCCUUUCCUAUUGGAGAUAAAGUGACAUUUAGCGGCAAGGAUUGUGUUUGCCAAACUUGUUCUCAUUCACUGAUUAGUAACAAACCUAUCAAGAUUCAUGGACCAAGCCAAUGUGCAGGUUGCAAAGAGGAAAUCAAGCAAGGUCAGUCCCUCCUGGCUUUGGAAAAACAGUGGCAUGUCAGCUGCUUCAAGUGCCAAACCUGUGGAAUCAUCCUGACUGGGGAAUACAUUAGCAAGGAUGGUGUUCCAUACUGUGAAUCGGACUAUCAUGCCCAAUUUGGUAUUAAGUGCGAGACCUGCAACCGGUAUAUUAGUGGCAGAGUCCUAGAGGCAGGAGGAAAGCACUAUCAUCCCACUUGUGCCAGAUGUGUUCGAUGUCACCAGAUGUUCACAGAAGGGGAAGAAAUGUACCUCACAGGUUCAGAAGUAUGGCAUCCUAUCUGCAAACAAGCAGCAAGAGCAGAAAAGAAACUAAAGCACAGAAGAACUUCAGAGACAUCCAUAUCCCCUCCUGGCUCCAGCAUUGGUUCCCCCAACCGAGUCAUUUGCGCUAAAGUGGAUAAUGAAAUCCUUAAUUACAAAGAUUUGGCUGCUCUUCCCAAGAUUAAAGCCAUCUACGAGGUGCAACGCCCUGACCUCAUUUCUUAUGAGCCCUAUCACAGAUAUACUUCGGAUGAAACACUGGAGAGAUAUAGCUAUGGGGAGUCUCUUGGAACCUUGUCUCCAUAUUCUCAGGAUAUUUAUGAGAGCAUGGACAUCAGGCAGAGGCGAGCAUCCAGCCCAGGCUACAUAGACUCACCCACCUACAGCCGCCAAGGCAUAUCUCCCACCAUCCCACGCUCUCCGCAUCAUUAUUACCGCUCAGGGACAGAGAGUGGGCGCAGCUCCCCCUACUAUAGCCAAUUAGAUGUGAGGUCUUCUACACCAACCUCAUACCAAGCUCCUAAGCAUUUCCACAUUCCAGCUGCUGCAGAGAGUAACAUCUAUCGGAAACCACCCAUCUAUAAAAGACACGAUUCCCACUCUGCAGCUACAAAAAGCAAAACUAGUGAAGACAUCACCCAGACCUCCAAAUAUAGUCCAGCAUAUUCUCCAGAUCCAUAUUAUCACUCUGAAACAGAGUAUUGGACUUUUCAAGGUUCACCCAAAGCUCCCCGAGUUCGAAGAUUCUCAUCAGGAGGAGAAGAAGAUAGCUUUGAUCGAGGGAUGCACAGAAUCCAGACAGGAAUUGGCCGAUUAAUAUUGAAGGAAGAAAUGAAGGCCCGUGCUAAUUCAUACAUGGACCCUUGGACGCCUCCCCGCAGCUCAGCGAGCAGCAGAGAAGCUCUUCAUACAGCAGGCUACGAGGGCUCCUUAAAUGGCUCACCCCGGUCACACUACCUGGCAGACAGUGAUCCUCUCAUUUCAAAAUCCGCUUCUCUUCCUGCUUACAGAAGGAAUGGGCUGCAUAGGCCUCCCAGCGCUGAACUCUUCCACUAUGACAGCACAAAUGCUGUCAACUGGGGGAUGCGAGAAUACAAGGUAACAUGCUCUCAAGAACCUUACAAGAUUUCUAGCCUCAUGGAUGCUGUCUCUUUGGAAAGCAGGAAGCUGUCACUAUAUUAAAUAGCAACCAGGAAAAGCUGCAUUAAUAGCCAAUUAAAAGAGAAUCUGAUCUUGUUCUCUUUUGCUUCUUUUGGUGCCUUGAGUAACAUCUAUUUGAAUAAAGGCAUCAUCAAUGCCUAUUGCUAAGUCAGGAGCUUCUAAAUCUUUUGCCACCAUGCUUCCCUUUAGUGUAGUCUUAAUGUAUACCUCCCCUAAAAAUCUAAAUACCAAAAUGUACAAAUGAACAAUGAAAACAUUGCAAGUUUCAUUGUAUUGUUUUCAUUGUGUUCAUUUUGGUGUUUGGAUGGUGGGUUUAUUGUAAUAAAGUAACAAAAAUGCAUCCUUCACAUUCCCUUGGUCUCUGUCUGUACCUGUCGUGUCCCACUCCUCCUCUGACGGCCGGGUCGGGGAAGUCUGUAUCAAGCAUGGCCACAAAGCCGCUGCAGCUUUGCCAAAGUUCUGUCAGAGUUCUCAGGGCAGGCAGGAGUCCAAGAUGUGACUUCAGCAAUCCAAAUUAGACUUUGCCUGACUCAAAGAAGGCCAUGGGGUAUGGCUCCAUGACUCAGCACUUAUCCAGGCCUGCCCCUCCCUUCCUUUUGCUGACGUCACCUCUCCAUUCUCCGGAAGUGUGGAUCCUUCCACCCUCCAGCUGCUGGCAAUUCCAGCUCAUGACUGGCUUCAUACUCCUCAUGUUCACAUGCUGCGGGGGAGGGGUUUAUUUCCUCAGUUUGUCCAGGCAUGGUGCCAGGACUGGGGGCUGAAGGCAUGCCAGGCCAUUCAUCUUGCUCUGUCUGUCUGGGCAUGGUGCCAGGACUGGGGGCUGGAGGCAUGCCAGGCCGUUCGUCUUCAUUAUCUGUCUCUGGCUGAGAUAACAGGAGAUGAGAGGGGCCCGGCUGUGGAGAGGGGGGCGAGCGAGGCACAACAGUACCAGUGGUGAAAUCCAAAUUUAUUUAGUACUGGUUCUGUGGACGUGGCUUAGUGGGCAUGGUGAGGCUUGGUGGGCAUGGCUUGGUGGGCAUAGCAUGGGAAGUAUACUGCAAAAUCUCCAUUCCCACCCCACUCUGGGGCCAGCCAGAGGUGUUAUUUGCCAUUUCUCCAAACUACUCAAAAUUUCUGCUACCAGUUCUCCAAACUGCUCAAAAUUUCUCCAGAACCUGUCAGAAUCUGCUGGAUUUCACCCCUAGUCUGUACCUCCCCCAAAAAGGUAUGGCUCACAGUUUGGGGAACCCAGUCCUAAACUGUGAACUUCAGAUGUACUGAAUUUCCAUGAUCAUAAACUAAUAUGGCCUUGGAAAAUUCUUUGGGUUAUGAAACUUCGGACUAGUAUAUAUGUGGAUGGUGCUGAGCUGAGUUUGAUGAUUUAGAAAGAAAUCUUAAUACUCCUUAUAUUUGAGACAUAUAAAAAAAAGAAUUGUUUGAUAAAAAAUAAGAAUUGUAUGAAUGAAUGAAUGAAAGAAUGAAUGAAUGAGGUCUUUGUGAAAAUGUGUGCUAUUGAAGAAUUAAAUCAAUACAGUUGUGGUAAAACUGAGUGCUAUAGGAAUGCUAAGAGAAAGUAAAGUAUAAAAUAAAGUAAAGAAGGAGGGUAUUUGAGGAAUUAAGUUAAGGUUAUUAGAAGUCAAGAAAGGUGAAAAUGAAAAUGUUGCUCUACAUUGCUUCUAGUUUUUAUUUUUAACACUUGCUAGAACUCUCUUUUCUAUGUGCCAAGAACACUGACUGCCAUUCAAUUGCUAAUAAACAAAUGAAAACAAAUCAUUUCCCAUAGAUAUUAAAAUUAUAUCCCGUCUGGGUUGUAAUAUCAUAAUUCACCUUCAGAUUCCUGGAUUCCCCUGGUCUCUUCUGGUAACAGAUAUCUGGCCCUAUUGCUUUGAGGCAACAUCAGCCUAAAUUAGAUUCUCCCAGAGCAACUUCACAUUGAAAAGGUAUAACUAGAAGUUAUAAAAUGUCUUUCUGCAAAUUAGCAUUUCGUGACCUGCUUCAGCUCAACUAUCUUUGACUUCAGUUCCUAAAGUAUAUACUGACAGAAAAGUAUAAUAAUUGAAAUUCAAUAUGAUUUAUGAGUAAUGCUGACUGCCAGAUUUUCAAACAGAAAUCUUUUCCUGAGUCUAUCUGAGGCUGAGAAAUAAACUUGGUUUGUUGUUUGUUUAUUUUUUUUGUAUAUGUAAAACAUGACCUUUGUUACUGAGCUCCUGUCUACUAUGUUCUACAAAGAAGAACAUUAUUUUACUAUUAUUAAUAAUUACAGCAUAUUACUAAUAAUAUGCUGAAUUAAUUAAAGGUAAAUUUCUGCAUCUUUUGGGGCUUUAACUGACCAUAUAAGCAAUGGAUGGAAACUAAUCAAGGGAAGAACCAACCUGAAACUAAGGAGGAAUUUCCUGACAGUGAGAACAAGUAAUCAGUGGAAUGACUUGCAAACAGAAGUUGUGGGUACUCUCAUAUUGGGGUCUUAAAAAUAGAUUGGGCAAUCAUUUGUCUGAAAUAGUAUAGGGUUUCCUGCUUGAGCAGCAUUGUCCCUUCCAAUGUCCCUUCCAGCUCUGUUAUUUUGUUAUCAUUAUGGCAUCACUUGUGCUGCUGCUAUCCUGAGCAUAUAGAAACUGUAAAUAUCAGUGUUACACUGAAUUGAAUCACUGUAUUGUAAUCAGAGAAAGCUGUAAUAUCCUCCAAAAAUAUUUUUGUACUUCUCUUAUGGCAUGCGUUAAAUUGUGAGUUGCCAGAUUCAUAUUACAAUUAAAUCUAAUUAAAUUAGUAAAUAAAUAAAUAAUUUUUCACACCUACCAGCAUUUUUACCCAGUCAUUUUUCCCAGGCAGUCUGGGAACCCUGCAGUAAUUAUCUUCACUUCUACUGAUUGUAAAAAACAGGAAAAAAUGUAGGGAAUCGGCACUCUCUUUCUUUAUAGCUGAUUAAUAGGAGAUGAAAAAUAAGACAUCCUACCAAUGUCCCAACUGCUGAGCUAUCAUGGGUCAUGGUGUAAUAAAAAUCACAUCAUCACCAUGUCACACAGAAAAGGAAACAACUUAGUAGCAUCUCAACCCAUGUUUUACAUUAUGUGAAAUCAUUUAGUGUUUCCAAAACAAAGAAUCCCAAAAGAUUACAAUGGGAAACUCUCUGAAGAUGAUUUCUUCAAAAUGUAAAGAAAAAUGCUGGUUCCCUGUAAAGGCUUCCUGACCAUCUUCCCCUAUUCCUCUGUGGCAAUUAAAAAAAUGGUAAUUAAAAAAAAACAACCUCUGAAUUUGUAAAGGCGAAAUGUUAAGCUUGCUGGCAAUUUUGCAACCUUUCCAAUAGAACACUGUGAUGAGGGUUAUAUGACACUACUAAACAGGAUGCUAAAUCUCUAUGAGCAGAACUUAAGGCUAGGUGCUAGAAAGCAGUAGUAUUUAUUUAUUUAUUUAUUUAUUUAUUUAUUUAUUUAUUUAUUUAUUUAUUUAUUUAUUUAUCUUGUCACAACAAUAUAUAGUAGACAAGCAUUUUGCCCAAAGGAAAAUGGACUACUUAUAAGUUUUACAGAGAAGCUGCAUUUCAAUAGGUAGGAAAUGCCAGCAUUGCUGUGAUUUCCAAUAAACUGGAAUAGACUCAAAAAUUAAUAAACUCACAUCCCAACAUAGAAAAUAUUGUGAGAUUGAUCAGAUCCCCAAGGCUAAAUCCUAAAGUGCUGGUGUGGAAGCUUCCAUAUAUUUUCUCAAAACUACGUUCAGCUGAUUCUUAUUUUUCUGAUUCUUUCAUCCAGCAUCAUAUUUUUUUCCCUUUCUUUUGUAGAUAUACCCUUAUGAGUUGCUUUUAGUGACAACUAGAGGAAAAAAUCGCUUGCCCAAAGAUGUGGACAGAACUCGGUUAGAGCGCCAUCUGUCCCCAGAGGAAUUUUACCAGGUGUUUGGCAUGACUAUUGCUGAAUUUGAUCGCCUGGCUUUGUGGAAAAGAAAUGAGUUGAAGAAGCAGGCUCGGCUAUUUUGAAAACAGUAUAUAUAAAAACUAUAUAAAUAUCUCUAUAUAUAGAUGCUCUGUAUAGUACAGAGUAGAAUUUCUGGCUGUUCUCUUUGGAAGCCUGUAGAAUGAACCGAAGUCUCACAGAUAUUUUUAUGCUCUUUUGUUUCUUUUAUUCUUUUUUUUAAAAGAGUAACUGUUAUUUGGGAAACUUUUCAAGUGUGGGGUGGAUGUGGGAACCUCUUUUAUACUGAGCUGUUUCUUUUUCUUACAUCAAUGUUGAGAACCUUGGGCAUUAUCGUAGCUCACCCGUGAGCCUCUUGAAAGCAAGUCUGGAGAGAGAGGAUGAUGGAACGGGGGGCAUUUUUGAUAGAGCCAAUCAUCCUUAUAUGCCUCCACACCCCACCCCAUGGUUUCAGAAUAUCUGAAGUAUGCUGCUGAAUCAGGCCAAGGAUUUAUCUCAACCUGCCUUUUGUUUCUAACAAUAGCUCAACAAAUACCUUUUUGCAUUCUUCUAUUAUUUUUCUCACUAUCUUAAUCAUCUCCAAGGCAAUAUAUAUAUAUAUAAAAGAAAGUUGGCUGGACAGAUUUUGGUUUUAUCUGUGUUCUUUUCUACCAGCAUGUUUAAACCUUGGUGUAAAACAUCACAACAUCAAGAUCUUGGUAUAAGAUCUCACAACACCUUUGCACCGAGAUUUAAACAUGCUGGUAUAAAAGGACAUAAAUAAAACCAAAAUCUAUUCAGUCAUUCUUUUUUUCCCCCCUUACAGCAGACAUCCAAAUGACUCUUGGAAAUUAAAAAGAUGGGCUUUAAGGUGAUGAGCAUCCCUAUGCUUUAUGUUCCUCCCUGCAGCAUCCAGCAAUCAGAUUGAUUGCCUCUAUGUAUGGAGGCUUUAUAUAGCUAUUAUUGAGAGUAACCAUCUUUAAAAUGAUUUUUCCAUGAAUAAAUAUUAACUUCCAAAAUUUCUUUUUUUCUCUGAGUGGCAGUGACAUGUAGCUGUCUUCCAUUCCUCUUCAGAGAUCUGUAGAAAGCCGUGCACUGAAACACUUACUAAAAUUCAUUCCGGUUCAGCAGAUACUACUACAUUCAGGGAAUAGGAAGUUGGGUUUCUUAGAACACAGAAUUAUAUGCUCACCUAAAUAUUUAGGUACUUUAACACAAUUUUGGAUAUCAUUUACAUUUGCACAAGUCUAUAUACAGCCUUCCCCAAUCUAGUGGUCUCCAAACAUGCUGGACUAAAACUUCUUGACGUCAUACUGAACUAUGUUUGUAGAGGCUAGUUUGGAGGUACAAUCUGUGAUAUGCACCCAAUUAUAAAUUAUCUUCCUUUCGAUUAUAUCAAUUUUCUCUUUUAUUGCUAGUCACUUUAAGCAGUCAUUUUUUUAAAAAGCCCACUGCUAUGAAAAAGCUUAACCUUACAAAGAACAAACUUUUCAAAAAGGGGAAAAAUCACAGGGAAUAAUUGGCACCACUGUCCAAUUCUCAAACAAAACAGUUCUAUACCCUAAUCAGUGGUUUGUUGAAUAAAUCAUAAUAGUGGAAAGCCAUUAAUCAUAGUUUAGAAGUGACUUGAUUCACAUAAUAUGCUGAGCUAAAAUCCAAUAAACUAUAUUAUGGCUUAGCAUGAUAUGUGAACCUUGUCACUGUUGUUCUUUAAAUAAACUUUGGCUAUGGUUGUUAAAAAAAGAAUGAUGCUUUACUCAGGCAGAUGUGAUGUUCAAAGCAUUUCAUCUGAACUUUUAUGUGAGUUUUAUAUAUGUUUUGCGAAAACAGCAGUCAUAUUAGGAAUAAAACUUUGAACUUUCAAACAUAUAUAAAAACUGUUGGAUUAUAGGGGAAAAAGAGUUUGGAGAAGCCUUGGCACUUGAAAUGUCUCGUUCAUCUUUAAUUUAACUAAUUUAAUUGCAUACAGUAUGUCUGGCCUUUCAUGGUCACUAGCCACAUUUCUGAUAUUGUGUCAAAUCAGUAGGAUCAACUCCUAAAUGAAGAAAUGUUCGUGGAAUGUUUUGAUUUGGGAGAUUGUAUGUUUGUUCUUUCUUAUAAGAAAAAGAAAUUUCUUACCUAAUACACUGUUUGAACAAAAUAAUUGUGAGUUGUCUCGU